GAUGAACGCUGGCGGCGUGCUUAACACAUGCAAGUCGAACGGCAAGGCCCUGCUUUUGUGGGGUGCCCGAGUGGGGAACGGGUGAGUAUCACGUGUGUAACCUGCUCUUGUCUUUGGGAUAACUUCAGGAAACUGGGGCUAAUAUCGUAUAGGAGCUCCUGCUGCAUGGAGGGGGUUGGAACGUUUCGGCGGUUGGGGAUGGACUGGCGGCUUAUCAGCUUGUUAGUGGGGUAGGGGCUUACCAAGGCUUUGACGGAUAGCCGGCCUGCGAGCGUGACCGGCGACAUUGGGACUGAGGUACGGCCCAGACGCCUACGUGAGGCAGCAGUGGGGAAUAUUGCACAAUGGGCGGAAGCCUGAGACGGCAGCGCCGCGUGCGUGAUGACGUCCUUCGGGGUGUAAACCGCUUUCGCCUGUGACGAAGCGUGAGUGACGGUAAUGAGUAAAGAAGCACCGGCUAACUACGUG
rnacentral:rRNA from 1 species